AUAUAAGAAAACAUUUAAGGAAAAUUUGGCUUGAUAUCAAACAAAAUGUCUGUAGUUAUGAAAAGUAUAUUUACAAAGAUCUCUUCAUAGCUAGGGGAAAUAUUUAUAAUAUUAAAUGAGAAAAGUAGGGCUAAAAACAUUUUAUGUAAAUGAACGUAAUUAAGUAAAAAGCAUAUGCAUGAAGAAGAGUGUAAAUACACUAACAUAUUAAUAUUGGGUUAUCUCCAAGUGAUGAGAUAAUGGACAGCUUCGAUUUUUCUUUUCUGGCAAUUUCUAAAAUGAGAAUGUGCUACUUUUCUCGUCAAAAAGAAAAAUCGUGCUAUUUUAAAAGACAUUUGAUAAGGGUGGGUCGCUCGCUAUUCCAGAGUGUAUCCAGCGUGUGUGACACCUCAUCAGUGGCUUCUGAGAUGUGCCAUCUUGAUCACAUCGUGGAGCUCGUUGAUUCGCCCCUCUGGACCUCAGCGGUCUCGUUUGCAAAAUGGGGAUACUCAUCUUCACCUGUCUAAAGGCAGGUGGCCAAAUCAGUUGCUAUUAGACAGGCUUUUCCAGCUCCGAUGUCUUCUGGUCUCUGAGUAUCUCACAGGAACCUCCUUGCAGAGGCCACUUUUCUCCAAGUAUGGACACAUGUGAUUAGGGCGGGAUUAACUGGAGAACAAGGAGGGGGAAGGCAGCAUGCUUCUCCACUCAUGGCACUGAGCAGGCGACAGUCAAGGACUAAUUCAAGGGCCACAGCUGCCCUGAGCCUGACCAGGCCUGCCGGAGCCAUCAACCUGGACAGUUGUUUCAGAGAAGGGAGUCGGCUCUGUCCUUUCUUUCUUCUUCUCGGACGGUGGCCCUGCCAGCUCUCCUUUACCACAGGGCCGUUUGGUGCUGGUCUCAGGACUUCCGAGGCAGGGGGCACAUCUGCAGUUCUCUCCUCUAAAAUAUUUGAGGUGCAAACAGCCCAGGAGUACAAUUCCGUGUGCUUCCUGCCUCCCUUCACCCCUCACCCAUAGGAAUCAGAGGAAGACAACAGCUUUUCUUCUGAAAACUCAAGAGCUAGAAUGGAAAUACGGCAUCCACUUUGAGCCUGGUGGGACAGACAGGCUGUCCCGGGGCAAACACCCAGUCUUGGCCUCCUACCUGGGAUUAGCAGGGCAGGCAUGUGAUUAACUUGCGGUCACAAGACCCUGUGUGGGACUAAUCUUGAGGAACAUUCUUGCCAAGCUGCACAUCAGCUGUGAGGGCCCAGGAAUACCCCCGCAGUGCCAGGUAAAGGCAGUGAGAUGGGCCAAGCAGAUGUGCAUGGAGCCCACCACCGGGGUCGGAUCCACGCCCCACCUCCUCCUAGCGGUGUGACUGGGAAAAUCACCCAAACUCUCUAAGUGCCAGUUUCCCUACUUAUAAAAUGAGAAUCCUAAUGGCUCCUACUACACAAAGUCCAGCGAGGACUAAAUGAGAUAAUGUGUGGGCAGAGCUUACCCCGUGUCGGCAGGUAACAAGGGCUCGAGAAAUGACUAGCUCUUUUUUUUAUGAAGCUCUUUUUUGGGCUCAGCACCCCUGCGGGCAGUGACGGGGAUACAAAAGGUUAAACCACAGUUCUCUCUCCGGUGAGGUCGGUCGGACUACCCCCAGGAAAUAGUUAAACAGCUAAGCAGCAGCGGGUGAUUAAAUGCAAAAGCUACUGGGAGGCAGCAAUGCUAUUUUUAAUACCAACUUGCUGGAAGCAACCCAAGUGCCCAGCCAUCCUGUAAUGACUAAGCAAACCUGAAAUUUUGUGACAUGACAGCCCACUGCAGAGCCGUUGGAAGUGGCAGGCAUGCUCCUGAUGUCCAUACAUGGAAAUGUGCCUCCGAAAUAAACAUUUCCAGAGGGGAGUCGCACCGUGGCACGUGCACGCUGUUUGCUGUAAGUGGUAAAUAUAGAGAUGCCGGCGAGACUCUCAGGUCCCUCUCGCUGCUCGUUGCACUGGACAGCCACACCAGCCUCUGACAGAACCAUCGAGAAAAGGAAAACAUGACAGAAAAUUCAUGUUCACAAAAAUCUGGAAGCACAGUAUUGCAGUAUCCUCUCUGGUCUCCUCUCUGUUCCACCCCUCCCCCACCAAGGCAUUUCUUCAUUUGACUUCUCAAAUUGUCUCAGACACCAAAAAAACCCACGUCGCCCAAAAGUAAAUGCCUGGUUUUUUCCCAGUCCUGGCUGCCAGACCCUCCUGAUGUCUCCUGAGGUUCCACAUCCAUGAACGGCAUCAACAUCCAUCCCUGAAAUGACGUAAGCCGGAAAACUAAGUCGUCUGUAUCAUUGCCUUUUUUCUCACCACCCAAACCAACCCAUUGCCAAGCGCCAUUUCACUUCCAAAAUAUCUCUAAAUCCACCCACUGCUCACUGCCCCUACUGCCGCCACCUUAAUCCAGGUGUCUUUAUCUCUUACCUGGACGACUGUGGUGGCCACCUUCUGGGCCCAGUCAGAUUCCCUUCCCAUCUGAUUCCCCGACUGCACUAUAAAGAUCUUUUCUAACGUAUGGCUGAUUCUAGCACGCUCUGCUUAAAGACCUCCAAUAGCUUCCCAUCGCUCUUAAAAUAAAAAGCAAUUUUCUAAUAA